CCUAGGGUGGCAGCAGUGGGGAAUAUUGGACAAUGGGCGAAAGCCUGAUCCAGCCAUGCCGCGUGUGUGAAGAAGGCCUUCGGGUUGUAAAGCACUUUCAGUGGGGAAGAAAGCCUUGGGGCUAAUACCCUCGAGGAAGGACAUCACCCACAGAAGAAGCACCGGCUAACUCCGUGCCAGCAGCCGCGGUAAUACGGAGGGUGCGAGCGUUAAUCGGAAUUACUGGGCGUAAAGCGCGCGUAGGCGGUCUGAUAAGCCGGUUGUGAAAGCCCCGGGCUCAACCUGGGAACGGCAUCCGGAACUGUCAGGCUAGAGUGCAGGAGAGGAAGGUAGAAUUCCCGGUGUAGCAGUGAAAUGCGUAGAGAUCGGGAGGAAUACCAGUGGCGAAGGCGGCCUUCUGGACUGACACUGACGCUGAGGUGCGAAAGCGUGGGUAGCAAACAGGAUUAGAUACCCCUGUAGUC
rnacentral:rRNA from 1 species